GCGGAGACACAGGAGACGCAGCUAGCGGAGACACAGGAGACGCAGCUAACGGAGACACAGGAGACGCCGCUAGCUGGGCAGCUAAGAGAGCUUCUGGAGGCUGGGCAGCUAAGAGAGCUUCUGGAGGCUGGGCAGCUAACUGGCAACUCAGAGGUCACGGGGUCUGGCUGUGGUGAUGGACGUCGGCAGCGUGAUCGCCGCUUCCUUUUUGAUGAUGACUCCAAUGGGCCGGGCAGCUCCAUGUCCGGCCUGUCGGGCAGCUGAGUAACAGGAGGAGAAGAGUCUGGAGCAGCAGAUGAACAAUUUCAGCCAUUUGGACUCAGCUCAGCCACUACAGAGGAAACAAUGACUUCAACACAAAAGGACCAACAUGGAGCGAGAAGUCAGCGCUCUCAGGAGGCCGACAAACCUCACAGAAGAAAGGGAGAGAAAAUCUUCAGCUGUGAUGAGUAUGGGAAGAAUUUUACCCAGGCUGGAGACUUAAAAAGACACCAACUCAUCCACAGUGGAGUUAAACCUUACAGCUGUGACUUGUGUGGAAAGUCUUUUACCCAGGCUGGAAGCUUAAAAACACACCAA